rnacentral:misc_RNA from 1 species
AACUUUUAACAACGGAUCUCUUGGUUCUGGCAUCGAUGAAGAACGCAGCGAAAUGCGAUAAGUAAUGUGAAUUGCAGAAUUCAGCGAAUCAUGGAAUCUUUGAACGCACAUUGCGCCUCCGGGUAUUCCUGGAGGCAUGCUUGUUCGAGCGUCGUUAAAGACCAUAAGGCUGUGCCUUGCGAUGAGCUGCCGACUUUGGUUGGUGGCUUCAAACUGAUUGGCGUCUGAAGUUUAGCCCAAGCACAGCACAAUGUGUUUGUACAAACAGAAGACUGCCUAUGCACCACUAUAAGGUCGACCUCGGAUCAAGCAAGAUUACCCGCUGAACUUAAGCAUAUCAAUAAGCGGAGGCU